ensembl:snoRNA SNORA73 Small nucleolar RNA SNORA73 family
CCAACUUGGACACCCUGGGAGGUCACUCUCCCCAGGCUCUGUCCAGGUGGCACAGGGGAGCACAGGGCUCUGCCCAAUGACGUACAGUCACUUCCCACGCCGUUGGAGAGGAAGCGGGCCUUGAGUCUGCACCUGCAUAUUCCUACAGCUUCCCAGAGUCCUAUGGACAAUGACUGGGGAGGCAAACCAUGCAGGAAACAGUC